rnacentral:rRNA from 1 species
GCCUUACACAUGCAGUCGACGAUGACUCUCUAGCUUGCUAGAGAAGAUUAGUGGCGGACGGGUGAGUAACAUUUAGGAAUCUGCCUAGUAGUGGGGGAUAGCUCGGGGAAACUCGAAUUAAUACCGCAUACGACCUACGGGUGAAAGGGGGCGCAAGCUCUUGCUAUUAGAUGAGCCUAAAUCAGAUUAGCUAGUUGGUGGGGUAAAGGCCCACCAAGGCGACGAUCUGUAACUGGUCUGAGAGGAUGAUCAGUCACACCGGAACUGAGACACGGUCCGGACUCCUACGGGAGGCAGCAGUGGGGAAUAUUGGACAAUGGGGGCAACCCUGAUCCAGCCAUGCCGCGUGUGUGAAGAAGGCCUUUUGGUUGUAAAGCACUUUAAGCAGGGAGGAGAGGCUAAUGGUUAAUACCCAUUAGAUUAGACGUUACCUGCAGAAUAAGCACCGGCUAACUCUGUGCCAGCAGCCGCGGUAAUACAGAGGGUGCGAGCGUUAAUCGGAAUUACUGGGCGUAAAGCGAGUGUAGGUGGCUCAUUAAGUCACAUGUGAAAUCCCCGGGCUUAACCUGGGAACUGCAUGUGAUACUGGUGGUGCUAGAAUAUGUGAGAGGGAAGUAGAAUUCCAGGUGUAGCGGUGAAAUGCGUAGAGAUCUGGAGGAAUACCGAUGGCGAAGGCAGCUUCCUGGCAUAAUAUUGACACUGAGAUUCGAAAGCGUGGGUAGCAAACAGGAUUAGAUACCCUGGUAGUCCACGCCGUAAACGAUGUCUACUAGCCGUUGGGGUCCUUGAGACUUUAGUGGCGCAGUUAACGCGAUAAGUAGACCGCCUGGGGAGUACGGCCGCAAGGUUAAAACUCAAAUGAAUUGACGGGGGCCCGCACAAGCGGUGGAGCAUGUGGUUUAAUUCGAUGCAACGCGAAGAACCUUACCUGGUCUUGACAUAGUGAGAAUCUUUCAGAGAUGAGAGAGUGCCUUCGGGAAUUCACAUACAGGUGCUGCAUGGCUGUCGUCAGCUCGUGUCGUGAGAUGUUGGGUUAAGUCCCGCAACGAGCGCAACCCUUUUCCUUAUUUGCCAGCGGGUUAAGCCGGGAACUUUAAGGAUACUGCCAGUGACAAACUGGAGGAAGGCGGGGACGACGUCAAGUCAUCAUGGCCCUUACGACCAGGGCUACACACGUGCUACAAUGGUAGGUACAGAGGGUUGCUACACAGCGAUGUGAUGCUAAUCUCAAAAAGCCUAUCGUAGUCCGGAUUGGAGUCUGCAACUCGACUCCAUGAAGUCGGAAUCGCUAGUAAUCGCAGAUCAGAAUGCUGCGGUGAAUACGUUCCCGGGCCUUGUACACACCGCCCGUCACACCAUGGGAGUCUAUUGCACCAGAAGUAGGUAGCCUAACGUAAGAGGGCGCUUACCA